GGAUGGAAUGCGUACAUCUCUUUGCCCAAGCAAUCUGCGUUGUAAGUGACACCGCCAUCGCUAGACCCUUAGGCAAGUUCCCUCUUGUGCUGGACCAUUUCUCACGUUUCGUCAGUAAGCAACCACUCAAUGCACUAGAGAAGAGGUUAAGAAAUUUGAUAGACCAUGAGGAAUAAGUUGUAUGUGAUUCAUGGACUACUCUACUGUGUUUUAGUGUCGGGCCAACAAGGUAAACUCUAUGUAAGCUGUUCAGCUGUUAUCAACCGCAUAACUUGAAGAAAAUGAGUCAGCAAAUUUUUUUUUAUACGUAAAACUAAAAUUACGAUAAUAGCUGUCUUUCUAAGUACCAAAUAUUCAGUUUAAUAGCUAAGCCCACAAAGUAAACAGCAAGACCAUUUAUUUGAGGGUGAAACAUUAAAACUUGCUAGUUACAUGUAUUUCUUUUUGAGAUGAUGACCAUCCUAUGUGUAUUUUUACAACAAUACAAACUUGUUUAGAACUAUAUUUCCAGGCCGACUUGCAGGCCAUUUAUAAGUUUGCCUACCAUGGACAAAUUGUGCUAGGGUUUCAGUUCAUAUCUUGUUCAUCUGUAGUCAAAUGCUUUACAGUGGUGCCGAAUGUUCCUUCAUUUAGCAGAUAUAUUGGUUUUUUUCAAUGAAAAUACAGCGUAUUUCAUUGAAAACCCUUUUUUACCCGAAAUCAUAGAUAAAUCCAUGGCUAUGACAGAAAGUUGAAAUUACUUUUUUUUCAUCCUAGAAUCCUUUAUUUCAUCUCUCAAACUACUGCAGUUCUAUGUAUUAUUUUGUUCUCCCCCAGUUUACCAUUUUGUAUGAUAAAUAUGUGAAGAAAAAAGAAUCUGGUCUGAAGCUACCAGCCAAAUUUCAGUCGUCGUCGUUACAUAUCAACAUUUCCCUUGAUUUGCACAAUUUGUUUUUAUUGCAAAUAAGUUACAACAGAAUGUUUUGACUUCCAACAAGAAUUUAUUGCAAAUUUCAUUCAUGAGGCUCACAUUUGAACAGAUCUCGAGAUUUAUAACCCCCUGCUUGUUCCUCCCCUCUCAGGAAUUCAUUCCUGACAUCUGGUUUCCGAAAACUAUUAACCUCUAUGGAUAAUCUAUAAAACAUCCCAUAAUUUUCAUGUUUUGAGUCUUCAACUGGAUGUAAACAUAGUAAACAUAAUGUUACAUGGACUCUCUUGAAUCAAGUGUUUCCUUUUUGUUUGUGAUAAAAUAUUACUUUCAUAUGCUUUCUAUACUUUGAAAUUUAUUUGUGCAUCAUGGGCCUUUACCAAUGUUAUUUGAAAGUGCAUGGUAUUAAAAGUGCUUCAUAGCCAAAGUAGCAAAUAAUAUGCAUCAAACAGAGUGUGACACCAAGACAUUGUUACAAGCAUUCUCUUCUGUAAAAUGUAAUAACUGUACUGUUCAUACCGGAUAAUGCAAUAUGUAGUAUGCAUAUUUAGAACCCAAGGGAAACAAUAUAUUUUGAAUGAUCAAACUUAAUAGCACUCUUCCAAAAGUUAGCUUUAAUUGAUUAUCAUUUAGAAAUUGUUAUCUUGUAAUUUGUUUAAUGUCAUUGCAAAGAAAGCGACAGAAAUAGCAUGUACAGAUAUAUUGAUAUCAUGAAUAUAUUUUAAGUCAUCCCUCCCCCAGAAAAGUAAUGCCAUGAAAUAUAAUGCAGUAUAUCAAAAAGAAAAAAAAAAGAGAAAAUCUAUGUAUUUCCAUACUAUAUAUGUAAAUCCUCAUUUCCUUUCACAGUUAUGCAGAACCACAUUUGUAUGUUACUUAAAGGGGUAAUCCAGGCUGAAAAUUAUAUGAUUUGAAGAGACUAAGAAAAAUCAGACAAAAAAAACACACAAAUUUUAUUGAAAUCCUAAAUCGGACAAGGAAUAACAAAGUUAUGGUAUUUCAAAGAUUAAAUUAUUAUUCCAGUGAAACAGUUUGAGGCAUGUCUUCAUGAAUAUUCAAUGAGCAAACUGAUGAUGUCAUAUCCCCACCUUAACCCCACUUUUUUUGUAUUUUGUUAUACGAAGUUAGGUUUACUAAAUAGGUUCAUUAUUGUUAGGUUACGUUUAUUCAAAUGUUUUCCUUUAAGAACCCAUAAUUUUGGAAUAACAACUAAUUAAGUGUAUUAGACAUUCAUUGCUGUGACUUAUUUCAUUACAAGGGAGACGUUUCAUUCACACAUGUAUGAAGCAUGAAACAAUUAUGAUAUCAUUUAAUAGCAAAAGAAAAAGGAGAGUGGAGAUGUAACAUCAGUCCAUCUAAUGAAUAUUCAUGACAACAUGCAUAUAUAACUGUUUUCACAAUAUAUUGCUAAACUUUAAAAUUCAAUAACUUGGCUAUUUGUAAUAAGAUUUUGAUGAAAUUUUCAGCAUUUUGCUCUGAAUUUUACUCUAUUUAUUUAGAUAUGAAUAUUUUUCAGCCCGGAGCAUACCUUUAAGACAGACUUUUGGAGUUGCAUUUCUUUAUUUAUGCAAUCACAGCAAACCCACUUCAGCUUACUGGCUGAAUUCAUGUUGCUUGAAGGGCUGAUUCUAAUGUCUUGCACCUUCAUGUCGUGCAGUUGCAUAUUAUUUCAAAUAAUAUGUAUGUGGCAAGUACAUGACUUGUAUAUUACCAUAGGAUGUUCUUCACAUUGAAUAUUUGCAUGUAUCUCCGGAGACAUUGCCUCUUGCCCUGCAGUAUUUAUAUUUUAAAAAACCCAUGAAGUUUGGCUUCUUUAUUUUUAACAUGAUUACCCUCCUUUUUUUCAGAAUCACUCUGGUCCGUGAUACAUGCACUUUUUACCUCAAGGUUUUUUGUUUAUUGUAUGUGAUUAACAAUGCUGCUGUAGGCAAUCUGACAUUUGCUAGCAUUAAUGAAUUUAACCCAUAUGAUCCAAAUCAGCUCUGGGCAAAUUGGGCAAUAAUAGUGUUAUUGUGAAUGUUCCUUUGUUGUAUUCCUUUGGGAUACAUGUGAGAAUCUAAGAUUUUUCUUUCCCUCUUCGCUUCUUAGAAAUCAUUGCUGCUUGAUUUUCUCACUUUUGUGUGGCUCAUAGUUUCAUGAAUUUGUGAUGAACCAGAAUGGUGCUUGGGGCUUUUCUUAAUACUUUUUAAUAAGUCAUAAACCUAAUAUUCAUAACUGGGGAUUGCUUUAAUGGAAGGACUUGUUAGACGUUUUAUCCAACAAAGUCUGUGUUAUCUGAUAAUUACCAUAGUAACAGUGCUUCUCAGCCAAUCAAAAUCAAGGAAAGUUGUCAGACCCUGACAACUUGUCAGACAAAAAUGUCGAUGAAAUGCUCCCUUGAAUUAUACUGUAUUUCCACUGAUGUUUUUGUCAUUAAUAACGAACGCCGUAAAGACAAUUUGGGGCAUACAUAUUAUGCCUACCAUAUUUCAAAUGAUGCAAAUCUGUUCAUAUGUUGUUAGUGAUUUACAAAUCACUGGGGAUCACUGGGGAUCCUUUCUUGUGGUAAAUGAUAUACACCAAACUAUCUUUGAUGUUGAUUUAUCGCUUAAGAAAGGAUCACCAGUCAUUCAUAAAGUCACCUGUAAUUCAUGAAACACGUAAUGGAACCCUUUUGGUAUUGUGUUCUGGGUAAGAUGAGUACUUAUGAAGGCUAUUUGAUAUUGAUGAAAUUAUCUCUCAUUUAAUAUUUAAUAUCUAUUGAGGCUUUCAAUUUUACAAUUCAUUUCAUUUAUUUCUUAAAAUGCAUAGAUUUAUAGAUAUUAUAAAUGCAUACAUUAUAAUUCAAUGAUAGCACAUUUAGAAGAAAACAAAAUCAAUAGCAAAGUAUGUCUUUGAAAAGUACAAUUAAGUAGCACAAGUAGGAGGAAUAGUAACAAAAUUAUAAAGAAAAAAAAAAGAUAUUGAGGACAACCUAAAUUAUCAUGAAAUAUAUUCAAUUAAUAUAGAUAUUUCAAAACGGUAAAAGAUUCAUCUUGAUACUCUUAUUGUUAUCAUUGAUCCUCCUGUACUCUUGUACCUAGUGGAGGCUAUCCUUCCCCCCUUCGUCCCUCUUUCUACAUCAUCCGCAGAUUGUUUCUUCCUUCGUUUUGCAUUCUCCCUUUCCCUUGUAUAAUCUUCCUCUAUAGGGUGAUUCCAUGCUUUCCUAGAAAAAUCAGCCCUUUUAACAACAUUUUCUCACCCACUGUCCAAACAAGGGACUUCAAUUUGUUCUGUGGUAAUAAUUAAGUGCUACAUGGUAGUCUUGUGAAAAAAUGAGAACAAAAAAAAAUAUGUCCAUGGGUGAAUGAGAGGUGAAAAUGUCGUACAGGGCAUCUAUGUUUCCCAUACGACACACAACAUUUUCACCUUUAAUUCACCCUUAAACAAAUUUUUGUUUCUUAUCAUUUUUUUUUCAGAAUCAUGAAUAACCACUAGAACUCUGUCAUUGCCACAAAAAAGAUAAUGCUCAUUCAGUCAAUUAAGAGACCUGAAAUUGUUGUCUAAAUGCCCUGUACGACUCGUAUUGGAUCGCUCUAUAAUGCGAUCCUUUAGUUUCUCAUUUCUUUAUCCAUUUCCAGUAUCAUCUCUCCUACCAUCUCUCUCUCUCUCUCCCUAUCCCCUUCCCUAGUUCCUUCUUUCCGUCUUUUUGCCCUCUUCCUUUUCCACGUACCAUCCUCUUCCGCUAUAAUGUCAUCCUUUAGUCUGUAAGUUUAAUUUUUUUAUGCCUUUUUCCAGUAUGAUAUAUCUCCUACCAUCUCGUUCUCACUAUUCCCUUCCGCUAAUCCUCCAUUCGCCAUGACUCCUACCAUUAUCCUUGUGUAUAUUCUGCUUCUCAAUACCCAGACCCCAUUGGCCAGCCAUUUAAAAUUCACCCAAUCCUUGCAGAUCCCCCAUUGCAGCACACAAAAACAAGGAUUACCAUAUUAAAUCGUUCAGGAAGAAGAUUGGCCCUAGAAUGCAUCCUUGGGGAACAGUUUUUGCCGGGAUUGAGGGCCGUGUUUGAGGUUAAAAUGCUAUCUAUGAAAACGUAAUUGCAUUGUCAUUUCUCUACGGGCUCUACAUGUAUGUUCUUUAUGUAUUUAUUAAUUUUUUUUUGAGGGGACCAUAUAAUUACUAUCUAUCUAAAAGACGAAUUGAAGUGGAUGUUUAUAAUGAUUUCACUUCAGUUGAUUUGAGAGACUGUAGGUGAUCUUUUCCAUGAGAACAUGUAGAAAUCUAGGCAGUAUAGUUUAUGCUGAAAACUUCAGUCUUUGCUAAAGGCUGGAUAAAAGAUGUGCCUCGUGAUAUAAAAUUUGUAGAUGUUCUGCAAUUUUUUUAUUGUAUAUCUUUUAGUUAUACUGGCCUAUCAUUAUUACUACUUUUAUGAUUGGUUUAUUGCAUUAGAUGUUAUUGUUGUUAAUAUAAAAAACAUUCUUUUAUUUUUGGGAAACAUUUGUUUUAAAUAAGUUUUGAAACUUGAACUUCAAAUUUCUAUCAUCUUAAAGUAUAUUGAUAUUUCGGAAAUCGUACAUGGUAAUAAUCUUAUAGGGGAAUUUGAAUCUACUUGUGUGUUAUUUUUCUUAUUCUUUUUUGGCGGUUUCCAUAUCAUUUUGUAUUCCACAUAAAACAAGAGAGAUUCGUUUUAUGACAGUUUUGACCAUUAAUCCCUUAUGAUAAUGUUCUUUAUAUAAAAAUAAAUCAUAGUGAGAAGUACAAUUUAAUUUUGAAGCUCUUAAUGGAUUUAAGAGAAUCCUUGGUGGCAGAAAAAUUAAAACUAAAUUCUAUAUCUUGCUGCAUGUGUUAUUAUGAUUUAUUUCAAAUGAUUUAUUAGAGGCAUAAGAUCUUGUUUAGUAUUGCAUGUACAAAAAGGGCAAAUGUGAAAACCUCUAUGUUCUCUCUAAUAUUUAUAGAGUAGAAUAGCAGUGUGAAAUAAUGUUAAUGUUUUAUUUGUGGGAUUGAUAACCUGAAGUAUUGGUUUAGAACACCCCCCCCCAAAAAAAAAAAAGAGGAAAAGACUACAAA